rnacentral:rRNA from 1 species
GACGAACGCUGGCGGCGUGCCUAAUACAUGCAAGUAGAACGCUGAAGGAGGAGCUUGCUCUUCUGGAUGAGUUGCGAACGGGUGAGUAACGCGUAGGUAACCUGCCUGGUAGCGGGGGAUAACUAUUGGAAACGAUAGCUAAUACCGCAUAAGAGUAGAUGUUGCAUGACAUUUACUUAAAAGGUGCAAUUGCAUCACUACCAGAUGGACCUGCGUUGUAUUAGCUAGUUGGUGGGGUAACGGCUUACCAAGGCGACGAUACAUAGCCGACCUGAGAGGGUGAUCGGCCACACUGGGACUGAGACACGGCCCAGACUCCUACGGGAGGCAGCAGUAGGGAAUCUUCGGCAAUGGACGGAAGUCUGACCGAGCAACGCCGCGGGAGUGAAGAAGGUUUUCGGAUCGUAAAGCUCUGUUGUAAGAGAAGAACGAGUGUGAGAGUGGAAAGUUCACACUGUGACGGUAUCUUACCAGAAAGAGACGGCUAACUACGUG